rnacentral:ncRNA from 2 species
AAUUUAAGAAGAGGCGCAGCUUUUAUUAGUAACAAUUUUGAGACUUACUAGGUUGAUGACAGAUUGUAAAAGGGAAAGCUGCCGAAACAAAAUAAAUGGUAACUAUUUUGUUGGGGUUUGAUUUAAUAAAUCAAACACUGUCGUAUUGUAAAAUACGGAGCGCUUUUAAAACU